GUGCUCAGGCCCUGGGUUCAAGCCCCAGGACUGGCAAUAAAAAUAAAACAAAAACUGUUUAGUCAUCUGGGUGAAAACAUCUACCACUAUUCUACCUUUAACUUGCUUAGCCAUUUAAAGACAGAUUGAAGUGUCAUUUUUUGUUUUAUCACUAAACUCUGUGUGUGUGUGUGUGUGUGUGUGUGUG